ACAAAUAUUAUUUUGUGGUGGAGAAUUGGCGGUGUGUGUUGUCAGCUACUUCUGGUUUUUGGGCAGCUGCAGCGGGUUAUCUCUCACCUAAGCUUUUUUUUUUAUGAGUUGAAGUAUUGUUUUGGUACUGAGAUGUUUUUUAAAAAAAAUGGGUAUAAAAAAAAUGGGAGAGUUUAUCGUGUUUGGUAAACACUCCAAACCAGCUUUAUUUUAAAGUUUUGGAUGAAAAAAAAAAACCUUCAAAGAACCAGCUUAUUUUGAAAAACAAGGGUGAAGAGUAAAUUCAUUAAUGAAUUUUUCAAUUUGCCAACAUUGCUCUCCUUUCUCUUGCCUUCCUCACACUUUCAGCAUGCCUUCUCGCAAAACCCUUGCAAAACCAAAAAACUUCAAUCCCAGCUCAAGCAGGAACCUCCUGCCACGUAAAACUCCUACACUAUUUGAUUCCAACCAUUUUCGAACCCCGACUUACCCUCUUGACCCAAUCUCCCCCCAAUCUCAUUCAGAAUCCAAUUUGCUACACUAGAUCUGAAAGAAGCCAUCCUUCAUCCCAGGGAUCUCUCUCAUUCUCCGGGUCGCGUUCUCCGGCUCAGCGUCCUUCCUCUGGGUUUAGGUAUAUAAGAAAGGAUAAAGUUCUACUCUGUUUCUGAUCUGUGAACUCUACUUCUGAUUUGUCAUGCGCCGUUCUCUCGUCUCUUGCGAUUCAGCACACCCUCUAGGACGCUGUUUCAUCGUCUUCUUCAAGCUCUCGCAAUCUCUUUUGAAACUUCAACCUCUAGGUCAGUGCUCGUAUCUUAUCUCUCUCACUCCAUCUGCUAUCGUGUUUUAUAUAUUUUUUUUUCUUCUGAAUUCUUCAUUUAUGUUAUUCUUUUAAUUACUACUAGGUUUCAGUUUUUGGUUCACAACUUUUGGUUUAGGCUGGUUAAUAUCUUCUUUUUUUUUCCUUCUUUUCAUGAUUUCUGCUAAUUUUAUUUGUCUAAUUUUUGUUUAUUUGUAGAAAAAUAUGGUUAGAUUUGGUUCCUUUAAUCGAUUUGGUUAGAUUUGGUUACUUUAAUCGAUUUGGUUCCUUAUGAACAUAUAUUUCCUGAUAUUUAUGUGUUUGGUGUCUUUUAUUGUCUCACAAUCAAGACUGUCAUCCAAAAAUGAUGCAGAGUACUGUCUGUGCCUAUAUCAUUUACUACAAUUAUGUAUUCUAUCUGUGUCUACUAGCUAGGCAUACUAAAAUGUUUAGACUUUAGUGUAACAGACCUACGUACCCUCUUUUGCGGUGCAAAUGGCUUUAAUGUUAAACUUCUUGAGACUUUCUGCUAGUAUGAUUGUCUAUGGUUUAAGCCUGGGAGAUCCACGCAUA